CCUAUGGGUGGCAGCAGUGAGGAAUAUUGGUCAAUGGCCGUAAGGCUGAACCAGCCAAGUCGCGUGAAGGAAGAAGGAUCUAUGGUUGGUAAACUUCUUUUAUAGGGGAAUAAAGGUAUCCACGUGUGGAUCUUUGCAUGUACCCUAUGAAUAAGCAUCGGCUAACUCCGUGCCAGCAGCCGCGGUAAUACGGGGGAUGCGAGCGUUAUACGGAUUGAGUGGGCUUAACGGGAGCGUAGGUUGUUUUUUAAGUCAGCGGUGAAAGUUUGUGGCUCAACCAUAAAAUGGCCGUUGAAACUGGAAGACUGGAGUGUGUGUGAGGUAGGCGGAAUGCGUGGUGUAGCGGUGAAAUGCAUAGAUAUCACGCAGAACUCCGAUUGCGAAGGCAGCUUACUAAGCCAUAACUGACACUGAAGCACGAAAGCGUGGGGAUCAAACAGGAUUAGAUACCCCAGUAGUC
rnacentral:rRNA from 1 species